UAGAGUUUGAUCAUGGCUCAGAUUGAACGCUGGCGGCAGGCCUAACACAUGCAAGUCGAACGGUAGCACAGAGAGCUUGCUCUCGGGUGACGAGUGGCGGACGGGUGAGUAAUGUCUGGGAAACUGCCUGAUGGAGGGGGAUAACUACUGGAAACGGUAGCUAAUACCGCAUAAUGUCGCAAGACCAAAGAGGGGGACCUUCGGGCCUCUUGCCAUCAGAUGUGCCCAGAUGGGAUUAGCUAGUAGGUGGGGUAACGGCUCACCUAGGCGACGAUCCCUAGCUGGUCUGAGAGGAUGACCAGCCACACUGGAACUGAGACACGGUCCAGACUCCUACGGGAGGCAGCAGUGGGGAAUAUUGCACGAUGGGCGCAAGCCUGAUGCAGCCAUGCCGCGUGUAUGAAGAAGGCCUUCGGGUUGUAAAGUACUUUCAGCGGGGAGGAAGGUGUUGUGGUUAAUAACCACAGCAAUUGACGUUACCCGCAGAAGAAGCACCGGCUAACUCCGUGCCAGCAGCCGCGGUAAUACGGAGGGUGCAAGCGUUAAUCGGAAUUACUGGGCGUAAAGCGCACGCAGGCGGUCUGUCAAGUCGGAUGUGAAAUCCCCGGGCUCAACCUGGGAACUGCAUUCGAAACUGGCAGGCUGGAGUCUUGUAGAGGGGGGUAGAAUUCCAGGUGUAGCGGUGAAAUGCGUAAAGAUCUGGAGGAAUACCGGUGGCGAAGGCGGCCCCCUGGACAAAGACUGACGCUCAGGUGCGAAAGCGUGGGGAGCAAACAGGAUUAAAUACCCUGGUAGUCCACGCCGUAAACGAUGUCGAUUUGGAGGUUGUGCCCUUGAGGCGUGGCUUCCGGAGCUAACGCGUUAAAUCGACCGCCUGGGGAGUACGGC
rnacentral:rRNA from 1 species